rnacentral:rRNA from 1 species
AUAGCGAGGAAAGAACCCAACAGGGAUUGCCUUAGUAACGGCGAGUGAAGCGGCAAUAGCUCAAAUUUGAAAGCUGGCCCCUUCGGGGUCCGCGUUGUAAUUUGUAGAGGAUGAUUCGGCGAGGGCUCCCGUCUAAGUCCCUUGGAACAGGGCGUCAUAGAGGGUGAGAAUCCCGUAUGUGAUGGGCUGCCUUAGCCAUGUGAAUCUCCUUCGACGAGUCGAGUUGUUUGGGAAUGCAGCUCUAAAUGGGAGGUAAAUUUCUUCUAAAGCUAAAUACCGGCCAGAGACCGAUAGCGCACAAGUAGAGUGAUCGAAAGAUGAAAAGCACUUUGGAAAGAGAGUUAAAAAGUACGUGAAAUUGUUGAAAGGGAAGCGCUUGCAGCCAGACUUGUCCGCAGUUGCUCAGCUUGUCUCCUGACAGGCGUACUCUUCUGCGGCCAGGCCAGCAUCAGUUCGGGCGGUCGGAUAAAGACCUGGGGAAUGUAGCUCCUCUCGGGGAGUGUUAUAGCCCUGGGUGCAAUGCGGCCAGCCUGGACUGAGGAUCUCGCUUCGGCUAGGAUGCUGGCGUAAUGGCUGUAAGCGGCCCGUCUUGAAACACGGACCAAGGAGUCUAACAUCUAUGCGAGUGUUUGGGUGUCAAACCCAUGCGCGUAAUGAAAGUGAACGGAGGUGGGAACCCUCACGGGUGCACCAUCGACCGAUCCUGAUGUCUUCGGAUGGAUUUGAGUAAGAGCAUAGCUGUUGGGACCCGAAAGAUGGUGAACUAUGCCUGAAUAGGGUGAAGCCAGAGGAAACUCUGGUGGAGGCUCGCAGCGGUUCUGACGUGCAAAUCGAUCGUCAAAUUUGGGUAUA